AUGUUGCUCUCUAACCUGCUGAAAGUGGUCAUGGCUUUAACAUGCCUAGGAUUCAAUAUGGCCCAGGAGGUAACUCAAGCCCAACUAGCAAUGAUGGUACAAGAAGAGGAGGCUGUGACUCUGCCCUGCACAUAUGAUACCAAUGAGAAAAGUUUUAGUCUAUUCUGGUACAAGCAGCCCAGCAGUGGGGAGAUGAUUUUCCUUAUUCGUCAGGAUUCUUACAAUGAACAAAAUGCAACAGAAGGCCGCUACUCCUUGAACUUGCAAAAAACAGCUAAAUCCAUCAAGCUUGCCAUCUCAGCUUCACAGCUGGAAGACUCAGCAGUGUAUUUCUGUGUGCUGAGAGAAGGCACAGUAAGAGGAGAGUUGUAG